UGUCUUCAGGGCAGGGUGAAAUUCCCGAUUGGCGGUAAAGUCCGCGAGCGCGAAAGCGUUGACUCGGUGCAACUCCGGGACCAACGGUUAAAGUCCGGAUGAAAGAAGAUG
rnacentral:ncRNA from 1 species